rnacentral:rRNA from 1 species
AUUGAACGCUGGCGGCAGGCCUAACACAUGCAAGUCGAACGAGGGGCGGACGGGAGAGUAAUGUCUGGGAAACGGCCUGAUGGAGGGGGAUAACUACUGGAAACGGUAGCUAAUACCGCAUUCCAUGGGAGGUGCCCAGAUGGGAUGAGCGAGGUGGUGGGGUAACGGCUCACCUAGGCGACGAUCCCGAUCUGGUCUGAGAGGAUGACCGUGCACACUGUGACUGAGACACGGCCCAGACUCCUGCGGGAGGCAGCAGUGUGGAAUGUUGGACAAUGGGCGCAAGCCUGAUGCAGCCAUGCCGCGUGUGUGAAGAAGGCCUUCGGGUUGUAAAGUACUUUCAGCGGGGAGGCGUUACCCGCAGAAGAAGCACCGGCUAACUCCGUGCCAGCAGCCGCGGUAAUUC